rnacentral:tRNA from 1 species
GCGGUCGUAGCUCAGCUGGAUAGAGCACGAGAUUCCUAAUCUCGGGGUCAUGGGUUCAAAUCCCUUCGAUCGCACCA